AAGUCGUAACAAGGUUUCCGUAGGUGAACCUGCGGAAGGAUCAUUACCGAGUGCGGGCCCUCUGGGUCCAACCUCCCAUCCGUGUCUAUCUGUACCCUGUUGCUUCGGCGUGGCUACGGCCCGCCGAAGACUAACAUUUGAACACUGUCUGAAGUUUGCAGUCUGAGUUUUUAGUUAAACAAUAAUUAAAACUUUCAACAACGGAUCUCUUGGUUCCG
rnacentral:misc_RNA from 1 species